rnacentral:rRNA from 1 species
AACGAACGCUGGCGGCAGGCUUAACACAUGCAAGUCGUGGGGCAGCAUGAAUGUAGCAAUACAUUUGAUGGCGACCGGCAAACGGGUGCGGAACACGUACACAACCUUCCGAUAAGUGGGGAAUAGCCCAGAGAAAUUUGGAUUAAUACCCCGUAACAUAUAGAGGUGGCAUCAUCUUUAUAUUAUAGCUACGGCGCUUAUUGAUGGGUGUGCGGCUGAUUAGAUAGUUGGCGGGGUAACGGCCCACAAAGUCUACGAUUAGUAGCUGAUGUGAGAGCAUGAUCAGCCACACGGGCACUGAGACACGGGCCCGACUCCGACGGGAGGCAGCAGUAAGGAAUAUUGGUCAAUGGACGCAAGUCUGAACCAGCCAUGCCGCGUGAAGGAUUAAGGUCCUCUGGAUUGUAAACUUCUCUUAUCUGGGACGAAAAAAGGCGAUUCUUCGUCACUUGACGGUACCAGAUGAAUAAGCACCGGCUAACUCCGUGCCAGCCGCCGCCGCGGUAA